UCGCCUGUUUUUACAAAAACAUCGCCUCCUGCAACUAAACUAAGUAUAGGAGGUCCAGCCUGCCCAGUGACUACGGGUUCAACGGCCGCGGUAUUUUGACCGUGCAAAGGUAGCGCAAUCACUUGUCUUUUAAAUAGAGACCUGUAUGAAUGGCUAAACGAGGGCUUAACUGUCUCCCCCUUCAAGUCAGUGAAAUUGAUCUAUCCGUGCAGAAGCGGGUAUAACCAUACAAGACGAGAAGACCCUUUGGAGCUUAAGGUACAAAAUUCAACCACGUCAAGCAACUUAAUAAAAAGCAAGAACUUAGUGGAAAAUGAAAUUUUACCUUCGGUUGGGGCGACCACGGAGGAAAAACAAGCCUCCGAGUGGAAUGGGCUAAACCCCUAAAACCAAGAGAGACAUCUCUAAGCCACAGAACAUCUGACCAAAAAUGAUCCGGCUAAUAAAGCCGAUCAACGGACCAAGUUACCCUAGGGAUAACAGCGCAAUCCUCUCCCAGAGUCCAUAUCGACGAGGGGGUUUACGACCUCGAUGUUGGAUCAGGACAUCCUAAUGGUGCAGCCGCUAUUAAGGGUUCGUUUGUUCAACGAUUAAAGUCCUACGUGAUCUGAUUCCAGACCGGA
rnacentral:rRNA from 1 species